AUAACCCGCGUUACUUCUUACUUUUUUUAAAAGUUUUUAUAUCGCUGUCUUUCAAUAUAGAUUAUAAUUUAUAUUACCCUAAUUCAUUUACCACGUCAAGUCGAGAUAAAGCCUAUAAAAAAGGGAGCCGAGUUACUCAUACUUUUAUUUAAGUUUACAUUUUUAAAAACAUUUAAAUCUAGGAUUUGAAAGUAAUAAAAUAAUAAUCUUCUUUUAUGAAAUAUCAAUCUAGGUGUACAUAUCGCCCGUCACCCUCGUCCAAAGAUGAGGUAAGUCGUAACAUAGUUAAUAUACUGGAAAGUGUAUUAAGGG
rnacentral:rRNA from 1 species